rnacentral:rRNA from 1 species
UAGCCGUAAACGAUACUCGCUAGGUGUCGGCCACGGUGCGACCGUUGUCGGUGCCGUAGGGAAGCCGUGAAGCGAGCCACCUGGGAAGUACGGCCGCAAGGCUGAAACUUAAAGGAAUUGGCGGGGGAGCACGACAACGGGUGGAGCUUGCGGUUUAAUUUGGAUUCAACGCCGGAAAUCUUACCGGGACCGACAGCAACAUGAAGGCCAAGCUGAAGACUUUGCCGGAUUAGCUGAGAGGAGGUGCAUGGCGUAGUCGUGU